AUAAAACAGCUCUCGCCUAGCUGCCUUCAUCAGCUGUCUGUUCACUGUCUCACAGGGUGUGUCUCCUGGAGUCUGAAUUGUCUGCUGUGUCGCCAGACAGCAACAACGAUCCAACCACCACCACUGCCGCUACCACUACCACCACCAGCACCGCCACCAGCACCACCAUGAAGACCACCACCGUCAUCCUUCUUCUGUGUGUAGUGGCGGCCAUCACCGCCUUCCCUGACCCUCAGAGCACCGCCGUUGAUCAGAAAUCAAAGGGUCGCCUUUUUUUCCCUCCUGUAAUUGUGCCGAUCAUAGCACCAACACUUACGACCACCACUGCAGCAACCACUGCAGCAACCACAACCAGCUGGUGUAUUGGCACAUUUUGUAUUCCUAACAUAUUCCCAACAGUGACUAUCACUGGUAAGAGGUAAUGGAGCUCUGUUGACGUUGUGACCGCAAACAGUUACUGUUGUUUUUAUAUGUUCUGCGGCUAAGCGUAAAGUCGUUCCUGUUUCACCGUUUUCGAAGCCGUUAUUACCUCAUUGUUAUAUCACUGUUUUAAAUUCCUGUUAACUUACUGUUAGACUGUUCUUUACCCCGAGAUGGGUCACUGUUUGAGGAGCGAGACACAGGAGUCACUGUUGUAUAAGGUACCGUUCACCCCUGGGCCUAGACUCACUGCUGACCCCUCACGGAGUCACUCACUGACUCACUCUCAUGCAGUAAAUGCGUCAGAACUGACUCACUCACUGACUCAGGCAGAACAUCUGUAAUGUACACGUCAAAAUAAAUUUUAAUUCUA